CCCUUCGGGGUGUGACUGCGUACCUUUUGUAUAAUGGGUCAGCGACUUAUAUUCUGUAGCAAGGUUAACCGUAUAGGGGAGCCGGAGGGAAACCGAGUCUUAAUUGGGCGUUAAGUUGCAGGGUAUAGACCCGAAACCCGGUGAUCUAGCCAUGGGCAGGUUGAAGGUUGGGUAACACUAACUGGAGGACCGAACCGACUAAUGUUGAAAAAUUAGCGGAUGACCUGUGGCUGGGGGUGAAAGGCCAAUCAAACCGGGAGAUAGCUGGUUCUCCCCGAAAGCUAUUUAGGUAGCGCCUCGUGAAUUCAUCUCCGGGGGUAGAGCACUGUUUCGGCUAGGGGGCCAUCCCGGCUUACCAACCCGAUGCAAACUGCGAAUACCGGAGAAUGUUAUCACGGGAGACACACGGCGGGUGCUAACGUCCGUCGUGAAGAGGGAAACAACCCAGACCGCCAGCUAAGGUCCCAAAGUCAUGGUUAAGUGGGAAACGAUGUGGGAAGGCCCAGACAGCCAGGAUGUUGGCUUAGAAGCAGCCAUCAUUUAAAGAAAGCGUAAUAGCUCACUGGUCGAGUCGGCCUGCGCGGAAGAUGUAACGGGGCUAAACCAU
rnacentral:rRNA from 3 species